rnacentral:lncRNA from 1 species
AAGCCAUAAGCAAACCGACUAAACUUAAAACCCAAAAGCAAUAAUAGAAAAUCCCAUUAAAAGAAUAAGAGACCUAAAGUAAACGAAACAGAGAUAGACGGUGCUGCUGCAUCACUUCCUUUGUAUUUUUCCUUCCAUUUUAGCUCUCAUUUGCAUUUAGAGACCUAAAGCAUAUAUGCAUUGCAUAUAUUUGUCUUUUUAGAACCUUUUGAUAGGUUUUUGGAGUGUUUUGGAUUGUGUACUAGGGAUGUAAAUAUGAGAUGAUGCAAAGAGAAGAGAAGACGAACAAGAGAGAAUUCAAGGCGAGAAGUUCACUGGCCGACCCAUGAAGUGACUUAUCGAUGAAAGGAGUGCCACAAGAUCGACCAAACGACUAAUUCACCUGGAUAGGCCAGACAAUUGGAAAGAUUGAGAAAUCUGGGAAAAAACAGUGACAAUCAAUAGGCUUAGAUAAAGCAAGAAUCCAACUAGUUGAUCGACUAUCGAACCCCCUUUACUAAACCC